GUUGACCUCGGAUCAGGUAGGGAUACCCGCUGAACUUAAGCAUAUCAAUAAGCGGAGGAAAAGAAACCAACAGGGAUUGCUCUAGUAACGGCGAGUGAAGCAGCAAUAGCUCAAAUUUGAAAUCUGGCGUCUUCGGCGUCCGAGUUGUAAUUUGUAGAGGAUGCUUCUGGGCAGCCACCGACCUAAGUUCCUUGGAACAGGACGUCAUAGAGGGUGAGAAUCCCGUA
rnacentral:rRNA from 1 species